AAGAACAAAGUGCAGGAGGUGGAGCCUGGUUUCAGAGAAAAGCUAUGUAUGAGCAACGUAACUGCCAGAAAAUCUGUGUGGGCUGGGAAAAGAGUUAUUUACCGAAAGUAGAAUCCUCAAGGCUGCUUUACAAUUUAAUAGCCUGGAAUUCCCAUCAUGUAUUGAUUCAGCCAGGAUUAAUAGAUCAUAUUGCAAAUGCAACAACUCCCCAUAAAGUCAAUAGAUUACAUUAUAUUUAAGCAGAGGUCACAAAAAUCACUGUAAACUAUAUUUUUAAUAUCCAAUCAAAUGAGGUCCUUCAGUGCUCCUGCCUGACACUGAAAUGAACAUAACCACAUUUGGCUCAUGCUGGUUGAAUGAUUAAAAUAACAGUGAAAUCCAGGAAGCAGAUGCAGUGGCUAGCCAUCUAAAGCUGCUAGUAAGCCUCAAGUCAUGCACUUGCCAGUUUUCCUAGAUUGCUGAAACAAUUGGGCAUGACUGCUCAUAUUACUUUAGAACUCAUUAUUAGCGUCAGAUGCAGGAAGGAAAAGCUAUUGUUGUAAUCUGCUGCUGUGACAAUAAAUAGAUGCCAUUAUUAGUCACUGGUCUGUCUCAGGGAAGAAUGCCGUUAAGGCUUCUGGUGAAAUAACCUAAGAUCUCUUCAUCCCCUGUGUCUCAGACACCAAGUUUAUAUGACUGUAAAGCCCCUGGUGCUUACAACUAUCACAUAAGGGGCUUUCUGAUUCCUGCUGCUUAUUAGAGGCAAUUGGAAUGAUAGAAACUGCUGCCAGUGUUUGUUUUAUAUAACCUACAAAGGAAAUGAGCACAAGAAGCCCACAGCCUGAAAUGAUUGCACAAUGAUAAUGAUAGGGUGAAGUUUACUUAUGGCUCAUUCCAUUGAGGUUUUGCAGCAAUCAGAAAAUGGAAAACUGCUAAUGGGCAUGGACAGAAAGAUACGCAGUAACAAUUAACAAUGACACUAUAAAAUAACCUUGCAAGCAAUCUUUCUGUUUCUGUUGCUGGGUCAUUGACAGCAAUCAUAUGAAAUGUCGUCAUUGUAGGCUGUAAAUAGGCAGAAUUGGAAGGCUAAAACACUAUUACAAAAACAUGAAAGAAAAAAAAAUUAAGGCUCUUUGUACCCGCAGACAAGCUGAUAUCUUGUCACAUCAUCAGAAUAGGGUGUGGAAGGCAGCAGAUCAGUCAGUUAAAGGAACCCUUCACCCAAGAAGAUGUUAUCCUAAGCAUUCAAUAUACAUUCAUUAAACAUUGUUAAUGGGUUUUAAUAUUAUGUGCAAAUGUAAUUGCUGUCAUAAACAGUUUUUGCCUGUUCUCUGGAUCUGGCUAUUAAAACAAUGUAACAGGA